rnacentral:rRNA from 1 species
UACCUGCAGCUCGAGUGGUGAUCGUUAUUAUUGGGCAUAAAACGUCCGUAGCCGGUCUUAUAAAUGCCUGGGUAAAUCGUAUGGCUUAACCAUACGAAUUCCGGGUAGACUGUUUGACUUGAGACCGGGAGAAGCUAGAGGUACUCCUUGGGUAGAGGUGAAAUUCUGUAAUCCUAGGGGGACCACCAGUGGCGAAGGCGUCUAGCUAGAACGGGUCUGACGGUGAGGGACGAAGCCCUGGGGCGCAAACGGGAUUAGAUACCCCGGUAGUCCAGGGUGUAAACGCUGCUUGCUUGAUGUUAGUCUGGCUCCGAGCCAGAUUAGUGUCGGAGAGAAGUUGUUAAGCAAGCUGCCUGGGAAGUACGGCCGCAAGACUGAAACUUAAAGGAAUUGGCGGGGAGCACAGCAACGGGUGGAGCGUGCGGUUU